rnacentral:snRNA from 1 species
CUUUUGAAUUGGUUCCAAGGAAA